UUAAACUCCUCCAGUCUGAAACAUCUGAACCUGAGUAACAAUAAACUGAAGUAUUCAGGAGUGAAGCUGCUCUCUGCUGGACUGGAGAAUCCACACUGUACACUGGAUAUACUGGUAUUGAGGAGCUGCAGUAUUACAGAUGAAGGUUUUACUGCUCUGGCUUCAGCUCUAGAAUCAAAUCCAUCAUCACAUCUGAGAAAACUGCAUCUGAGUGGCAACGAUUCAGGAGAAUCAGGAGUAAAACUGCUCAAAGAUCUACAGGUGGAUCCACAAUGUAACCUGAAGGAACUAAGGUCUGUUCUGACCAUUCAACAAGGUUCCUUGGAUGAGAAUCAUACAGAAGAGACUUUCUUCUCUAAACAUACUCUAAACAUCUUGUGGUUAUGUGGGAAAAAGUUUUGACCUCGAGACCUCACUUUAGAUUCUCUGGCCACUCGAGUAAUCCACCUUAUGUUCUUGCAGGCAGAAUCUCAACACCUGGAGUAGGGCUGGACGAUAUGGCUAAAAUUUAUAUCACGAUAUAACUCCUAAUUUCGGUCGAUACGAUAUAAUUCCGAUAUCGAUAUGAAUAACACAAAUGUCAGAAAAACUGCCAAAAACACCAAAAUUGGAUGGCUGUACCUGCAAACCUCUUUUCUGGUUUCUGGCAAGAAAUACAAGCUGAAUACACCACUGAAUUAGUCCUUCCUCUCUUAUCAGCUAUUUCGUCUGCUUCUUUUUCAACUGUGGACAGUGGCAAAGCCAGACAAUUUCCAUAGGGGUGGCCAGACUGAGACCAUUGCUCACACAGGGGUGGCACAGAAACAUACCUGUCAAGUCUCCCGUUUUGGCCGGGAAACUACCGUAUUUUACCCCUCUUUCCCGCCGUCUUCCCGUAUUAGUAUUUUCCCGUAAAUUUCCCGUAUUAUUUUAUUGUGGUAUUUUCAAUCAUCACAUCCAAAUAUAAUAUAUUUAAGUGUCUUUAUUAUUAACCAACAAAUCUCAGAUAAGCAAUAAAGUCAUGUGCAAACUCUCAGAACGGUAACUUUCUUCUGACCCUCCUUUAACCGCACCACAACAAUAACAAAAGGUAACAGUGCCUCCCACAGGUUCAGCUCCCCA